UCUUUGGUGGUCCAGUGGUUAGGACUUGGCACUUUUGCUGCCAGGGCCUGGGUUCAAAACCUGGCUGGGGAA